UAAAACCAGCACCUCAAGUGGUCAGGAUGAUUAUUGGGCCUAAAGCAUCCGUAGCCGGCUUUGUAAGUUUUCGGUUAAAUCUGUACGCUCAACGUACAGGCUGCCGGGAAUACUGCAGAGCUAGGGAGUGGGAGAGGUAGACGGUACUCGGGAGGAAGGGGUAAAAUCCUUUGAUCUCUCGAUGACCACCUGUGGCGAAGGCGGUCUACCAGAACACGUCCGACGGUGAGGGAUGAAAGCUGGGGGAGCAAACCGGAUUAGAUACCCGGGUAGUCCCAGCUGUAAACUAUGCAAACUCAGUGAUGCAUUGACUUGUGGUCAAUGCAGUGCUGCAGGGAAGCCGUUAAGUUUGCCGCCUGGGAAGUACGUACGCAAGUAUG
rnacentral:rRNA from 1 species